AUGUGCCCCUCGUGCACUGAGGUCUUGCGUGCGCGGUCUGCACCCACCUGACGACGGCGCGCUACGGUUUGCUAGCC
rnacentral:sRNA from 2 species